rnacentral:lncRNA from 1 species
UCCUUUUGGGGCUGGGGCCGGGGCAGGGGCAGGAACUGGAACUGGUACUGGAACCGGAACAGGGGCUGGAGCCGGUUCCUUUGGCUUGGGUUUUUCCGCAGGCUUAUCAGCAGGAGGUUUAGGCUUUUCUGGCUCUUUAGGCUUUUCUGGUUCCUUAGGCUUCUCAGGCUCUUUAGGCUUUUCCGGGGCUUUAGGUUUCUCAGGCUCCUUAGGCUUCUCGGGAGCUUUGGGUUUCUCAGGCUCUUUAGGCUUCUCCGGAGCUUUUGGUUUCUCGGGUUCCUUAGGCUUCUCCGGAGGUUUAG